UACGGGGGGAGCAAGCGUUGUUCGGAUUUACUGGGCGUAAAGGGCGCGUAGGCGACGCCGCAAGUCGACUGUGAAAUCUCCGGGCUUAACCCGGAAAGGUCAGCCGAUACUGCGGGGCUAGAGUGCAGAAGGGGCAACUGGAAUUCUCGGUGUAGCGGUGAAAUGCGUAGAUAUCGAGAGGAACACCUGAGGCGAAGGCGGCUACCUGGCCCGUAUCUGACGCUGAGACGCGAAAGCGUGGGGAGCAAACAGG
rnacentral:rRNA from 1 species